rnacentral:rRNA from 1 species
CCUACGGGAGGCAGCAGUAAGGAAUAUUGGUCAAUGGACGCAAGUCUGAACCAGCCAUGCCGCGUGAAGGAUUAAGGCCCUCUGGGUUGUAAACUUCUUUUAUAGGGGACGAAAAAAGGGCAUUCUUGCUCACUUGACGGUACCCUAGGAAUAAGCACCGGCUAACUCCGUGCCAGCAGCCGCGGUAAUACGGAGGGUGCAAGCGUUAUCCGGAUUUACUGGGUUUAAAGGGUGCGUAGGUGGGUUGGUAAGUCAGUGGUGAAAUCUUCGAGCUUAACUCGGAAACUGCCAUUGAUACUAUCAAUCUUGAAUCAUCUAGAGGUAAGCGGAAUAUGUCAUGUAGCGGUGAAAUGCUUAGAUAUGACAUAGAACACCAAUUGCGAAGGCAGCUUACUAUGGAUGUAUUGACACUGAGGCACGAAAGCGUGGGGAUCAAACAGGAUUAGAUACCCUGGUAGUCCACGCCCUAAACGAUGGAUACUCGACAUUUGUGAUAUAUAUAAAGUGUUNUGAGAGAAGANAUAAGUAUACCACCGUACGGAAGUACGACCGACGAGUAGUAACGUACGAAGUAGUAGUAGUACGGCGUGAGACGUACGACGACGACGACGACGAGGGAGGAGG